rnacentral:tRNA from 1 species
GCCUCGGUGGCUUAGUCUGGUAGAGCACAUGAUUCGUAAUCAUGGAGUCGGGGGUUCAAAUCUCCCUCGAGGCU